AAAUAUUAGAGUUUGAUCCUGGCUCAGAAUAAAUGCUGUUUACAUGCUUAACACAUGCAAGUUGAAUGUUAUUCUCUUUUAUGAAGAAAACAUAGCGUACCGGUGAGUAUCUAUAUAAGAAUUUGCUUUAAAAAUUGAAUAAAUUUUUUUCAAAAAAAUUUCAAAUACAAAAAGAAAAAAAGAAUCGUUUUAAAAUAAGCUUAUACAAGAUUAGGUUGUUGGUUUUUAGGGUAAAAGCCUACCAAGCCGAUUAUCUUUAAUUGAUCUAAGAAGGAUGAACAAUCACACUAAGACUGAGAGAAGGCUUAGACUUUUACGAAAGGCAGCAGUGAGGAAUUUUGGACAAUAAGCGAAAGCUUGAUCCAGCAAUGUAAAGUGAAUGAAGAAAGCUAUUUGGUUGUAAAGUUCUUUUAUUAAAAAAGAUUAUGACUUUGUUUAAUGAAAAAACUCUGGCAAACUUCGUGCCAGCAGCCGCGGUGAUACGAAGAGAGUUAGUAUUAUUCAAAAUUAUUUGGCGUAAAACGUAUGUAGAGAAUUAUUGUAAUGUAAAAAUGCAAAAAGCUAAAGUAUACGUCUUUAGUUUGCUUUUUAAACAAAUAAUUUGAGUAUAAAAUUAAACGAUUAUAGAAUUUCAGAAGGAAAAAUAAAAUUUGUAGAUAUCUGAAAGAAUGUCUAAGGCGAAAGCAAUAAUCUAGAUUUAUACUGACCUUGAUAUACGAAAGCAUUGUUAGCAAAGAGGAUUAGAUACCCUCGUAGUCAAUGCUGUAAACGAUAAGCACUCGUUUUUAAAUUUUAAUGAAUUUUAAAACCUAGCUAACGCGUUAAGUGCUUUGCCUGAGUACUAUGCCGGCAACGUUGAAACUCAAAGGAAUUGACGGGAAUUUAAAAAAUUGGUGGAACAUGUGGUUUAAUUCGUCAAUACGCGCAAAACCUUACCAAUCCUUGUAUAAUUAAAAAACAAACAAAAAAAUUGUUUUUAUUUAAUAACAGGUGCUGCAUGGCUGUCGUCAGUUCGUACUUUGAAGCGUUUGGUUUAGUCCUGGAACGAACGAAACCCUGCUUCUUUAUUACUAUUUACUUUUUAGAAGAUUGAAUUAAUUGUCUUAAAGUAAUGUACAUUAAGAAAACAGCUUGCUAUACGCAAGACGAAAAAGGAUGACGUCAAGUCUUCAUGGCCCUUAUGGGUUGGGCUACUCAUGUGUUAUAACUGUAAUUACAAUAAGUAGCAAUAAUGAAAAUUGAAGCUAAUCUUAAAAAAUUGCAAAAAUUCAGAUUGUUUUCUGAAACUCGAAAACAUGAAGGUAGAAUCAAUAGUAAUCGUUUAUCAGCAAGGAACGGUGAAUUUAAAUAUAAAUUGUGUACAUACCGCCUGUCACAGCCCGGAAAUUUUUUUUAUUCAAAGAUUUGUGAAAUUUAAAAUAUUUUGUACCUUUAGAUACGACAAAAAUCGUCCGUAUACUAUAAAAUAGUUUAUAAAUUGCCUUUUUAAAAUAAGAAAAAUAACCAUGUUGAAGUCAUAACAAGGUAACAGUAGAGGAAUCUGUUGUUGGAAUUAUUAAAAU
rnacentral:rRNA from 1 species